rnacentral:rRNA from 1 species
UACGAGAGGCGCAAACGUUAUUCGGAAUUACUGGGCUUAAAGAGUUCGUAGGCGGCGCAGUAAGUAGGGUGUGAAAGCCCUCGGCUCAACCGAGGAAUUGCGCUCUAAACUACUGUGCUUGAGGAAGCUAGAGGUGAGCAGAACAGAUGGUGGAGCGGUGAAAUGCGUUGAUAUCAUCUGGAAUACCGGAGGCGAAGGCGGCUCACUGGGGCUUUUCUGACGCUGAGGAACGAAAGCCAGGGUAGCGAACGGG